rnacentral:rRNA from 1 species
UACCAGCUCUUCGAGUGGUGUGGAUGUUUAUUGGGCCUAAAGCAUCCGUAGCUGGCUGGGCAAGUCCCCUGUUAAAUCCACCGAUUUAAUCGUUGGAGUGCGGGGGAUACUGUUCGGCUAGGGGACGGGAGAGGCAGACGGUAUUUUCGGGGUAGGGGUGAAAUCCUAUAAUCCCGGGAAGACCACCAGUGGCGAAGGCUGUCUGCUAGAACGCGCCCGACGGUGAGGGAUGAAAGCUGGGGGAGCGAACCGGAUUAGAUACCCGGGUAGUCCCAGCUGUAAACGAUGCAGGCUAGGUGUUUGGGCGGCCACGUGCCGCUCUAGUGCCGCAGGGAAGCCGUUAAGCCUGCCGCCUGGGGAGUACGGCCGCAAGGCUGAAACUUAAAGGAAUUGGCGGGGAGCACCACAAGGGGUGAAGCUUGCAGUUU